GGGGUGUUAGAUGUUGGGGAAACUUGUGUGCAGUGUGGUCAAGAGCAAACUUGACUUCCUCUGCUGUUUGCUUCAGAGCUGCAGUAGAUUCAUCUUAUGUUGUGUGGAGGGGACCAUAGUUUCAUCAAGCAAGAACAUGAAGAUCAUUCAGCUUCAGCUCUAUGUAUUAAUCUGUUGUCAGUAUGGUGUGGCAGAUCUAUUAACUGAUCUGGGAUCAAAUGUGAUCAUAAACUGUGAUCUUGAUGAAAUGAUGUUUAUUGGAUAUUUACUAGAAAACAGCAGAUCCUACCAACAGUGAUUCUACGAUCAUUCUCAACACAAACAAAAUCACCUUUUUACCCUAAUAAAACAUUCAGAAAGAAAUAUUCAGUGCAGUUUAAACAUCGUCUGGUUAUUAAUAAUGUGACUGCUGAUGAAUUAGGAGUUUAUUACUGUAUGAACACAGAAACACCUCCAAAACUCAGCAACAGCACCAGAAUAUGCUUCACUGGUGAGUUCAUUUACAAAUCCAUUUUGAUGACCACUAUAAAUAUUUAAUCUUUUUUAUAUAUAUAAAAUUGUAAUUCACUACUUCAGUAUAAAAACCAUUGGUCGCUUUACACAGAGCUAAAAAUAUUAAAUAUAUUUGCAUCAGUUCUACAAAAUUGCAGUCAUUGUUCUCCAAAGGAUUGACAGUAACAAACUGUGGACUAAUUUUUUUUUACAGAGUCAGUUCCAAUAACUGAGUGUCUGAAUCAGAAACAAUGGCAGAUAAUCAUCAUAAUAUCUGCUCUGAUGAAUGGGCUUCUGAUCAUUGUAGUGAUCGGUGAGUUAUCAAAAUUAUGCUCUUCUCCAUGAAGUUAAAUUCUUUAUUUAGGUCUUUUUCUACUUUUUAUUUUGUACUAUUUUUAGUUGUACUUUAAAUUGUCUUAAUUAAUUUAAGAAAGUAAUAAUACCUACCUUUAGUAAACUUUUAAUUAAUUAAUGUAUUUUGUUUUUUUUUUUUUUUUUUUUCUUUUACUACAGUGGUAUUAAUCUGUUGUCAGUAUGCAGUUGCAGAUCUAUUAACUGAUCUGGGAUCAAAUGUGAUCAUAAACUGUGAUCUUGAUGAAAAUGAUGUUUAUUGGAUUUUACUGAAAACAGCAGAUCCUCCAACAGUGAUUCUACGAUCAUUCUCAACACAAACAAAAUCACCUUUUUACCAUAAUAAAACAUUCAGAAAGAAAUAUUCAGUGCAGUUUAAACAUCGUCUGGUUAUUAAUAAUGUGACUGCUGAUGAAUUAGGAGUUUAUUACUGUAUGAACACAGAAACACCUCCAAAACUCAGCAACAGCACCAGAAUAUGCUUCACUGGUGAGUUCAUUUACAAAUCCAUUUUGAUGACCACUAUAAAUAUUUAAUCUCUU
rnacentral:lncRNA from 1 species